AAGACUAUAGACCUGCGGAGUACCUGCGGAAGGAUCAUUACAGUGUUAGGCUUCGGCCUCAUUCACACCCCUUGUUGAACCUCUGGUUUCUUUGGCGAUGUCAUGGACUCGUCAAACUUUAACUCUGGGAAUGUGAUAAUGUCCGAGUGAGAUUGAAUAUCAAAACUUUUAACAACGGAUCUCU
rnacentral:misc_RNA from 1 species